rnacentral:rRNA from 1 species
GGUACGACUCUCAGUAAUGGAUAUCUCAUCCCUCACAUCGAUGAAGAAUGUAGUGAAAUGCAAUACAUGGUGUGAAUUACAGAAUCCUAUGAGCCAUCAAGUCUUUAAAUGCAAGUUGCACCUGAGGACAUCCGACUGAGGGCAUGCCUACCUGAGCGUCAUGC